CUGCCUAUCAAACGGUACGCGCCCGCACGACGUUUUCAGGUUUGAUUGAGCAGUGCGGCAUUUUUUUUAUUUCUCCUCCUUCUUUCCCCCUCCUUUCGUCUUCAAGUAGAUGUGCUGUUUGUCUUUAAAAGAGCAUUCAUUCUCCCAAAACUCGCGUUUCAACUUCUUUCUUGUUUCUAUUCCCCUCUGCGAGAGUGGGGAGAGGAAACCGAAAUUGAGAUCGAUCGAUUGCUCCUCUCUUCUUUUCCCCCUCCCCUCCAUGAGGCCGUUGGGUACAACCUAACUCGCUACCGCCUCCUUGACCCGCACUCCACACCGUUCUGAUUGGCCCGCGCGGCGGGGACCGGUCGCUGAUUGGAAGACAAUUCUGUCGAUCACACACAGGUUCGUGUUUGGUCGCACGGUGCGGUGCGGCCUGGGUUCUGCUCCGGUUUGUUGUCAUGUUCGCUGGUGGACUUCCAAUGCGGGCCCUGAGAUUCUGAUGGUGCAGCAGUGACCGGGCCGUUCACUUUAGGAAGAUGAUCAUAGAGAAUCUGGACGCUUUCAGAUCUUGGUUGUCAAGGGCCUUGGACCCUAUCUGUGAUGCUGACCCAUCAGCUUUAGCUAAAUAUGUAGUGGCUUUAGUUAAGAAAGACAAGCCAGAAAAAGAGCUGAAGGCUUUGUGCGUUGAUCAACUGGACGUAUUUCUGCAAAAAGAAACUGUUGGAUUUGUGGACAAACUUUUUGAUGCUUUAAGCACAAAGAACUACGUGCCACGACCAGAGCAGCUUGUCCAGGAAACUAUAAAGCAGGACAUGCAACCUACAUGGCAAGAGAGGGAGGACAAGAAAGAGGUUCCCUUGUAUGAUGAAGAACAAGAUGGCAGAAAAUCUUUGUUAAAGAAGAGCCAUAGUCCCUUUAAACCAGUUUUGGGGCCUAUCGAUACAAGAACUCGUGAUGAGAAAAAACGUGAAGAACGAAGACGUAGAGACUUUGAAAGAUAUCCUCACCCUAGAGAUCUUUAUCGAGAGCGGUAUGACCGCCGUAGGGGCAGAAGCUAUAGCCACAGUCCAACAAAGAGCGCAAGUCGAAGUCGCAGUCGCAGCCGUGACAGAACUCGAGAUCUCGGGCGCAGCAACAGCACAAGUAGAGAGCAACAUAAAGACAGAUCCAAGUUUGAGUUGGAAAGAAAUGAGGGCUCAGAGAACAUUUAUGUUCCAAGUUGCACAUCAUCGAACAGUUCAACUGAACAAUAUUUUUCUGGAGCACAUGCUGCUCCGAGUGCAGUAACUGUGGUAGCUCCUGCCCACCAUUCUGACAACACUACAGAGAGCUGGUCUAAUUUCUAUAACAACCACACAGGCACAAAUUCCUUUGGUAGAAAUGCAGCCCCAAAACGUCGAUGCAGAGACUAUGAUGAGAAAGGUUUCUGCAUGCGUGGUGAUCUCUGCCUCUUUGACCAUGGGAAUGACCCAUUAAUCGUGGAAGAUGUGACUCUUCCUGGAAUGAUUCCUUUUCCGCCGCCACCUCCAGGCUUACCUCCCCCAGGACAUCAGUUGCCUCCACCGGGGCAUCACUUACCUCCACCCUUAGCAGGUCUCCCUCCAAACCUGAGGUUGCCCCCAUUACCGCCACCUGGACAACCUCCACCACCUGGCAUCCAUCCUGUAUCUGGACCACAUCCAAUCCCAAAGAGUGGUGUAGACAACAUUGAAGUCUCUGGGACCAGUACAGUACCUACCAUGCCACCUCCAGGAUUGAGGCCGCCACCUUUACCUCAGUAUCCACCAUAUGUGACUUCAGAAUAUAACUAUGAGCCUGAUGGCUAUAACCCUGAAGCUCCCAGUAUCACUGGUGGUGCCAGGCCUCCAUAUCGACACUACAUCCCACGAAUUCAGACUGAGCGCCCAAAUCUGAUUGGCUUAACUUCCAGCACCAUGGAUGGCCCAUCACGAGUGCCUGUGAAGGUAAACCAAGCAGAGAUCUGUGCAGCUACAACAACAAGCAACAACGUUUCACGUGAAGUUAUUGAACCAGAAUCUAGGAAAAGAACUGUUGUAACUGUGGAUGGACCACCUUCCAAAAAACCGUGGCUAGAAAAGCAAAACUUCAAUCAUCAAAACAAGCAAGGAUUUCAGAAGAAGACUCCACACACCUAUGAUAACACCAAGCUAGAGGUCCGCAAAAUCCCGAGGGAAAUGAACACCAUUACCCAGCUCAAUGAACAUUUCAGUAAAUUUGGUACUAUUGUCAACAUUCAGGUUGCGUUUAGUGGUGAUCCUGAAGCAGCUCUUAUUCAGUACUCUCAUAACGAGGAAGCAAAACGGGCUAUUUCCAGUACUGCAGCAGUGUUGAAUAACAGAUUUAUCAGAGUUUACUGGCACAGAGAGAAUAAUGGAGUUCAGCAGCAACCACAACUUCAGCAAGUACAGGCACAGCAGUUAGCAGUGUCACAGCAUAGCACUGUUCAUAAGAUAUUAAACCGAAACCAAAGCCCAGGAUCUUUUGUACUAACAAAUGCAACAGUAAAGCAACGACUUGGGUCCCUGGUCGGAAAUCCGCCUGACGGAAUGCAAACCAGUUCAAGCCAGUUUGGAGCUGGUGGAGAAGCUUCACAGGGACCACCGACCUCCACAAGCCUGGUAAAGCCAGGGUAUGGUUCUGCAGUCAUAAAGACAAAUCAUAAAUCUUCUGUUACAUCCAGUAAGGCACUUGAAGCAAAAGAAGCUCUCAAGAAAAAACAGGAAGCUUUAAAGUUACAGCAAGAUAUGAGGAAAAAGAAACAAGAGAUGUUAGAAAAACAAAUUGAGUGCCAGAAGGUACUAAUUUGCAAACUGGAAAAAAACAAAAGUAUGAAAGCAGAUGAAAGAGCUAAAAUAAUGAAAACGAUUAAAGACUUGACGGAAAGAAUAUCUCAGUUGCGUGAUGAACUGAAAGCAACAUCAGCAUCAUCGUCAUCGGCUCCAUCACAACUAAAAUCUAAAUCUGAUGCACAGAAGGAAUUACUGGAUGCAGAACUGGAUUUCCACAAGAAGCUGAAUUCGGGGGAGGAUACAACAGACUUGCGUAAAAAGCUGAAUCAGCUCCAAGUGGAGGCUGCAAGACUGGGCAUUCUUCCUGCAGGACGUGGUAAGACUAUGCAAACACGAGGUCGAGGUCGAGGCAGGAGCGUGAGGGGAAGAGGCGCGCAAAUGCACAUGGUGGUUGAUCACAGGCCCAAAACUUUAACAGUAUUCGGCUUCACACAGGAGGAAAAGGAUGAAUUAAUGCCACAUUUCUCAAAGUUUGGAGAAGUGGAAGAUUUUCAAGAGGAUACUCCUUUAAAUGUUAGAGUUGCAUUCAAAUCAAGAAUUGAAGCAGAAAAUGCUGCCAACCAGGGUGCAAAGUUCAAAGGCAGAAACCUUCAGAUCUCCUGGUACAAGCCAAAAGCACCUUCAGUAUCAACAGAACCGGAGGAGGAGGAUACAAAGGAAGAGGCAUCAGAACCUGUGGAUCCUUUCUUUCGUGAAGAUGACGAUGAUGAAGAAGAUGAUGAUGAAUCUCGCUCCUGGAGACGAUGAUGGGAUUUAGAACAUUCACUCUAUCGUCAUGAACUUUUGUGCAUUUUUUUGUGUUUAAAUAUAUUUACUAAUUUUACAGAAACAUUUUUAUUGUAUUUAAAGAAAAAAAAAUGGGUUUGCAACAUUUUUGUGAAAAUGACAAAAAGCUUAGUAUUUUGCUUUCAAUGCUUUUAGGAAAUAUGCCCCAAAGGAGGAAAAUCACAGAAUGUUUCAGGAAAUAAAAUGGGAGAUAGGGAAUAACCAGAUGUCCAUUCUGCUUGUAGCAGAGGUUCUUGUAUGAAUGUAUAUUAAAAUUGUGUAAAUACUUUGCCUUUUUUUGAUGAAAAGUAAGACCAUUUAAGCUUGUAAGUAAAUUUUUGAUAGUCUUUUUUCCCUCCUUUCAAAAAAAGAUUAAGUCACCAGGAUGCAUCUUGCAAGGAAAGUGAGCUUAUAGCAAGUAUUGAGUUCUACAUUUUAAAAGAAGAUCUGAUUGGAAAGGCAAUAGAGUGGUUGCUAUAUUAUUUGGGGGAUUCAAAGUAAUGCAAAUUAUAUGGAACUUCCAUGUUUCUCCUCAGUAGUUUUGGUGAUUUUUUUUUGGUAAGCAUAUGAAAAGAAAAUGCUGUAGAACCAAGAGACCACUGUUAACCAAUAUGAAAUCUAAUUAGAUUGAAUAUGGUAAUCGGUGAUGAGGUAUAUAAAUGGUAAAUGUUCACAAAAGUGAAAUGCAUUUAAAGCUGCAGUGCCCAACUAAUCAAAAUUUUGGUACUAGACUAAAUUUAUUAAUUUACUAUUUAUUGAAACCAUUUUUUGUUUACAAAUUGAGAUUUCUAUGCAUGCUCAUUGCUUAAGUUUUCUGUGAUUUCUGUUGACUCUGUUACUGAUUUAUUUUUACAUUUGGUACACUCUGCUGUCAUCCUGUGACAGUUAAAGUAUUAAAAUGCUAAUGAAUACAUCACGUUUGAUAUCCCACUUCUGUGGAUUCAUAUAUUCAACCUCAUCUCUUCCCUCAAUGCAAAAUGUUAAUUUUGGUAAAGAGCAAGAUUGCUCUUUAUAUUUCCGUCAUUUAAUUAAUAGAUCAAAGAAUAUAAAUAUUGCUUAUAUCAGACAAUAUAGAUGCAGCGAAUGGAAAUGUUUCGUAUACAGAAGCAAUUUUCAUUAUCAAAGAAUCUCUUAAUGACCAAUCCCUAAUUGCUAUCCUGUGAUUCAGUCUAGAAAGUGUAGAUAUUUAGACAUCAGCUAAGGACAGGUUGAACAGUCUUCACAGAUCAAGUUCUAUGACGAGUAAGAAAGUACAGUUACUUCCUUAUCGUAUAUGGGUAAGCAAUAAAGUUGAAUUGCUAUGAUGAGUUUUACAAGUAAAAUAGCUCAGUAUGCUCUUGUAAGUCAUUACCUAUCAUGUGGAGUACUUCAUCCACAAUAAUAAUCCCGAUGCAGAUGCACCUAUUAACUCCCAGUCAACAUGUACCAUAAUACAUUCCUUUGUUUUCUUGCUUCCAUAACCUGUUAGUUGCAAAAUUGGACCUGCAAAUAUCUGCAUCCAGAGUAAAAUAUUAAAUUCUCAUAGAUCGUCAUGGAGGUAUGCUUUCAUGUAUUUUUACUUCUAGUAGAGUACCUUGUAAAAUGUUGUCUGUUUCUAAUUUUACUGAAUUUGAUAGGCUUAGAAACAAGUCACUAAGUUUAUACGGAGUAUCUCGGGCCCUGUUAAUAUGCCUGUUGAAGGCAACAAACUGGAGAUUACAAAUAAACUAAUAAACAGGAAUACAAAAUAUCAAUGUAAAACAGGAUUUUACUAUCCUGAAAUAUACAUUUAUUGGGUACACAUUUAACUACAUACAAAUCCUCAUUUUCAAUUUGCAGGGAAAUGCAGCUUUAAACAAAAUACCAACAGAGCUUACUGCAAGCGUAAAAGACAAAGAAACUGGUGAAAUACAGAUAUUGAAUACAUAUAGCUGUAUUAAAUGUGGACUAUUUGCAGUUACCAAAAGAAAAUCUUAAUUAUACCAUUUGUACCUUAACUCAGCUGAAUGUCAUAAUGUUUCUGGAUUGUGGGAGAUUCCAGUGUACGGGGUUAAUAUUUUUUGGCAUCUCGCAAACCCUGAAUUUUUAAUAUCAAUACAGUUUCUUUCAUAAAAGAGAGAGCUACUGAAGACUGGAAUAUUUUAAACGCUUUGAUCGCUAUUUCAUAAGAAUGCAUUUAGUUGUGAAGAACUUGAAACAGUGCCAUCUUGUGAUUGAAAAAAAAAUAACCUACUUACCAUUGCUGUUCUACCACAAUCCACAUCAGAUAUAUAUUAAGUAACUUUAUAAAUCCCUGAAGAAAGCAACCACUUUAUGUAGAUAUUAGUUAAUGACAGUAAUGGGCUGAUAGGAGAAUCCUCAGUAACAUUCAUUUAAAAACAUUGCAGCACCUUGAAAACUGUCCUUGGGAUACAUGUAGUUGCUCCUGUAAGUUUGAAAAUGUAAUUGGUAUACUGUAAAUCAUAUGGCAUAGCUGACAUAAAAAAAGUAACCAGAUAUUGAUGAACAUUUUUUCCUUUUUUCAUCAGUGAAUAGUACCAGAGAGUAUUUUCAGACAGGAAUUUAUUUUUGGUAUUGGAAAAUGGUUUAAAUAAAUGAUGGGAGUAAAUGCAUGUUUUUAUGUUGUACAGUAUCAUCUGAGCCCAUUGGGACAGUGCUUUAUAAAUUGCUGUACCUACCUUACUAGAUAUAAUUGCUUAUACACUGUUUAUUUUAUCGUAAGUUAGAUAAUUCAAGCAACCGUCAAUCCCUUCCUAAUAACUUGUAUACGACACAUAAUCUGGAAUAUGAGAGUUCAAGUUUAACCACCUUAAUCCAGCUGGGAUCAAUUUUGGCUGUAACCCUUUGACAUGUUAACUGGUAAUGCACCCAGUUGAGUUUGUUAUUUAAAUUUUUUGUCAACUAUUCUGAAGGAUUUCUAUAACCAUUUUUCAUAUUAUUUUUGUUUAUAUUUUAUUUUGGGCUGUUUGCUCCUUUGAUAUUAAGAAGGUAUUGUUUAUUUGCUUUAAAGUCCUGCAUCAUUCAUUUAGUUUGCAGUUGGAGAGCCCGUGAAUAGAAGGCUGCAAUUGUGUCUCUUCAGAUUUUAUGUACAGCAUUUGCCAGCGUGGAGGGAGGAGGGAUAGAGUGAAGCUGUAGUCUGACGUCAUUGCCAUCUGAUCUUCAAGGGAAAUAUCUAUCUGGAUUCAACAAAAAAAUUGCGUAGUGUGAAAGGAAACUCAUUACAGUUUUUUGAAGCUGUUAAAAUGGCUAUUGUAGAUCUUUUUUGUGGGGAAGAACAGUCAGAUAUCAUAUGAUCUUUUUUCUUUUCUGGAGAGUAGCUGGUUCUUUGCCAGAAACUAGUCGUGUAACAAGGAGUCUUCUGGAGGUCAACUGGUUAACUGCUUUUCUCUCUGUCAAAAGGUAGAUAUACCUGCCGUGCAUUUCCAGCAGUUUGUGGUCGUCUUUCAGUUUACCAUGUCCAUACUCAUAAAACCAUCCCGCCAGUUAGCAGACUUGCUAUUUUUAAUAAUUUUUCUGACCUGUCGUUAUCUUUUGAUGUGCUUAUUAACUAGGGAUCUGUUGUGCUGUUCAGGUUCAAGAGGAAAAGAUCUUGUCCCUGUGCAGAUUUAUUUUGUAGCGAAGUGAUGAUGGUUCUGUUUCUGCUUUUAUAGGAUUAGGCAGAAUGAUAAGUACCUAACUCUGAUAAUUGAUUGUUUCUUGAGCUCUUGAUUGUCCUGAGUCUGUAGUUCAUACAACAGUUAACUGAGUUCUUACAGAAGGUUAUCAAACUGAAGUAUUAAUUUAUUUUCCCUCUCUCUUUUCACAGAAGCUGCCAGAUCUGAUGAGUAUUUUCUGUUUUUGUAACUGAAUGUUUGUUUAUAUUUUUCACUGUUUGUUAAAUCAUCAAGAGAUGUAACAAAGUUCAGAAUCAUCGAAUAUGUAAGUACUUAAUUUUUUCAAUUCAAAAAGUUGAGUGUACUACACAAACAUCAAAUUUACAGGAAGAAAGAGGGCAUUAUGCCUCUUUUAACUGCACCGGUGAUUUAUUUUAAUUUUAUUUCCCUGCCUUGUUCCAGAUGUUAUUUCCCUUUCAAUAUUUCAUUUUCCUUCAAAAUAUAUCUUGGACAUGACCUUCAUAGCCUUUUUCUGGUAAAAUGUCCCACAUUUAAAAUAUUCCUAAUGGGGGAAAAAUAUAAAACUCCAAAAUUACUCCUGUAUUCUUCAUGUGAUAACCUCAGUCUUUCUGGAUGUUUGAGCUAAGAUUGUCACUUAAGAUAGUAUCUAGUGUUUGAUUCUUACAUGGUUAAAAUAAUUUUAUUUUAAACCCUGGAGCGGAAUCUUGUGGCUCCAUUCUUUCAGAAAAUAAUUGGAGGUGGGAGGUGGUGAUGUGGUGGUCUUGUUGCUGCACUAGUAAUCCAGAGAUUGAUUAAUGUUUCAUAGUUCUGGCUCCACAGCAUCCGGUAGAAUUUGAGUCUUAAAACAUCUGGAAUUAAAAAUCAAAUGAUCAGGAACAUUUGGUUUUUAUUGCAAUCAGUCGAGUUCACUAAUGUCCAUUAGGGAAGAAAAUCAGCUAUCCUUACCUGCACUCCAGAUACACAGCAAUGUGGAUGUCGCUUAGGCUCCUAAGCUGUCGCAAGUUAGUCAAUUGUAUCAAACUGCUUAAAAAGUUUCAAAGAAUGUAACCAGAUGGACCAUCUGACAUCAGCCUAGAAGUAGAAAUGAUCCUCCAGAGGUCUUCCUGCACAAAAUUGAAGAACAGUUUCAAGCUGUAGCCUGAUGCAGUUUAACUCUCAGAUUCCUACUUUACAACAUCCGGGUACCACCGUCAACAUCCCUGGUGGAACAGACCCAGCGGAGGUAGCUAUACAGUUUCUAGGGUAUUGCUUUGGGUGCCCUCAACAUUGACCUUGUGAAGUAUCACAGCCGGAGUUGAUGAUUCGGUUCUCCUCUCGUUUGAACACCUUUUGGAAAACUCACUCAGACUGCUGUGGACACAGAAAGUACUCUGUAUCAUGAUUUCAAUAUCCAUCACCGCAAGCGGCUCAGGAGCACCACUUCUGACCAAGCUGAUGGAGUCCUAAAGGACGUAAUUGCUACAUUACAUCUCUCUUAGACGGUGAGUAUGUUAACAAUGGGAAACAAACUUGACCUCAUCCUCUCCAAUUCACCUGGUGCUGAUGCAUUUGUUCGUAAUGCUAUCAUAAGUUUGACUACUUCUUAGUCUUUCUGAGAGAAUACCCUCCAUCGUGGCAUUAACAUUAAGAUAAAUUGGAUAGGUUUCAUACAAAUUGAACAACUUCAUGACUGCCCAGUCUUGAGAUGCAUGGGCCAUCUGCAGAAUUGUAUUCAGACACAGUAUGCAACCUUGUGACCUACUAUGUCCUCCGUGCCACCAUGAUCAUUAAGCCAAGGGUCUAGUCCUAGUUCAAGAGUGCAGGAGGCCAUGUUGGAACAGUACCUGCAUAACUAAAAUUGAAGUAUCAGCGUUGCGAAGCUAUAACGGAAGACCAUUUGUGUGCGAAAUAGGCAAGCAACAAGUAACAGAUGGAGCUAAGUGACUUCAUAAUCAAUGGAUCAGAUCUCAUCUCUGCCGUACUGCUAAGUCCAAUUUUGAAUAGUGGUAGACAAUUAAACAACACCUGAUCGAGGAAGCUCCACAAAUAUCCCCAACUUCAAUGAUGGAGGGGCCACAAUGCAAAAGAGAAGAUUGAAACAUUUGAUAUAUACUUCAGCUGAUGUGCUGAAUAGAUGAUUAGUCUCUGCUUUCUGAGAUCUCCAAUAUCUCAGAUGCCAGUCUUCAACUAAUUUUAUUCACUCAAUGUCAUAUCAAGAAACAAGCAAUAUUUUAAAGUGUAUGGGCCCAAAAAUAUUCCAGCAGUAGUAUUGAAGACGACUUCUCCCAAACUUGCCACAUCCUUAGCUAAUUUCUUCCAGUACACCUAAAAAAUUGACAUCUGCUGAUAGUGUGGAAAAUUGGCCAGUUAUGUCUUACAACAUUCCUUUCAAGCUGUGUUGCUGUGCAGUCUUUGGCAGGUUUGUUAACUGAUGCAUUGGCUUCCAUCACUACCGUACAUGGUCCUUGGAGGUCUUCAAAAUAAAAUAAAAAUUAAGGAGAACAUUGACAUCUGUUCAUAAUAAUAAAAAAAAGGCAGGAUAAAUCCAACCCAGCAGUUACUGCCUUAUCAGUCUACUGUCAAUCAUCAGUAAAGUGACAGUAGGUGUCAUCGACAGUGCUGUCAAGAAGCACCUGCCUGACAAUUACCUCCUCAGUGUCAUCUGGUUUGGUUUCUGCCAGGAUGGGUUAAUUCCCGACUUUGUUACAGCAUUGGUUCAAACAUGGACAAAGGAGCUGAAUUCCAGAGAUGAGGUUAUAGUGACUGCCCUUGACAUCAAGAAUGCAUUUGUUGGACUGUAGCAUCAAAGAGCCCCAACAAAGCUGGAGUCAUUGGGAAUCGGGGAGAACUCUGCUGGUUGGAGUAAUACUUAUAGGCUUCUCGACUCCAAGAUGUACAGGAUUUCCUCAAAGGAGUGUCCUAAGCCCGACUAUCUUUAUCUGCCUCCACUCCACGACCAACUCCUCCUCCUCCUCCCCCUGCCCGAAGAGGCGAUGUUCAUUGAUGACUGCACAACGGUCAGUACCAUUCAUAAGUCAUCUGAUUUGAAGUAGUUCUUGUCCAAAUACAGCAAGUCAUGGACAGCAUCCAUGCUUGUGUUGACAAGCAGUAUUUAACCUUCCUACCUUACAAGUGCCAGGGAAAAACAAUGUGCAACAAAAGAGAAUCUAACCAUCACCCCUUAACAUAAAAACCAUGGAUAAAUCCCUUAUCAACAAGCUGGGGGAUUACCAGUGACCAGACACUGAACUGGAUAAGCCAUAUAAAUGCUGUGGCUACAACAGCAAGACAGAGGCUAGGAAUCCUGCAGUCUUCAGGAUCCUGGAGCCCGUCCACCCAUCCACAAGGUAGAAUUCAGGACUGUGAAGGAAUGUUCCCUAUUUUGUCUGAAUGAAUGCAUCUCCAAUAACACUCAAACAGUUUGUCACCGAACACAACAAUGCAGCCCACUUGAUUUGGCACCACGUCCACCAACAUUAGCUGCAGAAAUUUACCAAGGCUGAUUAAACAGCACCUUCCAAACCUGGGAAUAUCACUACCAGCAAGUUUCCAUCUGCGACUCCUGACUUGGAAAUCUAUUGUUAGUACUUCAGUGUCACUGGGUAAAAAUCCUGGAACACUGUGUUUGCAGGAGUAGGCUGUUUGGCCUCUUGAACCUGUUCUGCCAUUUGAUUGGAUCAUGGUGGUCUGAUUGUGGCUUCAGCCCACUUCCUGCCUACCCCUAAAUCCUUUGACUCCCCUGUUGGUCAAGAAUCUAUGUACAUGUGUACAAGAAUCUAUGUUCAUAAUCCAACCUUCUGCUCUGUGAGGACAGAAUUCCAUAGACUCACUACCCUUUGGAAGAUACAAGCAUCAUCCAUUCCACUUAAAUGGGAGACCACUUAUUUUUAAGUGUCCCCUAUUUCUAGUCGGCCCUACAUCGGGAAACAUCAUUUCAGCAUCCACUCCCAUUAAAUCCCCUAUGAACAAUCUAUGUUUCAAUAAGAUCACCUCAUUCUUCUAAGCUCCAAUAGUACAGGUCCACCCUUUCCUCAUGUGAUAAGACCCCUCAUUCCACAAGGCAAUCAAGUGAACCUUCUUUCAGCUGCAUCUAAUGUAAUUAUCUGAUUUUUAAGUAAAGAAAUCAAACAGUACACAGUAGCCAAGGUAUGGCCUCACAACUACCCUGUACAGCUAUAGCAAGCAAUCAUUGAUUAAGCUAAUUCUGUGACUGUUUAUAAUGCCAUGAAACUUUGAGUGAAUGCAAUGUUGCUGGGGUGUCUCGGUAUAAUGUGAAGUUUAUUAUUGACUUUUGUAAGGAAGUCCUGAGUGAAUGGAUAGACAAAGAUAAACCAAUAGAAACUGACUGCCAGACCAAAGCAGCAGGUUGCAAAGUAGAUAGAGGCGUAAGACAAGCACUGCUCCACUGAGACAGCCAUGAUCAAGCCUUAAUACAACAGCCAGCAACAUUACUACACUUCUAUUUUAACUCCAUACGUAGGAUCUGUAAUAAACAUGUAAAAUCUCAACUCAGUUGUAAGUACUAAUCCCAAGACAGUAUUUUGAACAAAAGUUUCCCCCAGUGUCCAAACCAUAAUAUUGCUUUUCUUGCAGUACCAAUGGCCUACCACUUGAAAUAGUACCUGUGUUGGUCUCAGCGUUUGUUUAUGUGAGUUUGCUAUGUUUCCGCAUUUCCUACAUUGCAGCAGUGACCACAUUUCAGAAGUGCUUGAUUUGUCAGAGAUAGCAUCAUGUGGAACUGGAGGAACGCAGCAGGUCAGGCAGUAUCAGAAAUCUAAAGAAGGCUCUUGACCCGAAACGCCAACUUUCCUGCUCCUCUGAUGCUGCCUGGCCUGCUGUGUUCCUCCAGCUCCACACUGUGUUAUUUCUGACUCCAGCAUUGGCAGUUCUUGCUAUCUCUGCUUGAUUUGUCAAAUGUUUUAAAACAUAUUGACAUUGUGAAAACUCUAUAUAGAGACAGGCUUUUCCUUCUUAGAUUACCUUAAGAGAAUCAUGUACGUUACAAAUAUAUUUUAAUCAGGUGAAUUUUCAACACAUUCAAGGCUGGUGUUUAGUGCAAGGAUAGUGCAUCUUCUGCAGGAGAUGAGAUCUAGAAUUUGUCAUAACAAAACUCUGAGAAGCGUUGGCUCAACAGUGGAUGAGUAUAACUUUCAGACAGACAAUAGUGACCACAAUAAUCCCAAUGUAACCUCAGGUCAGAAGGGUCUAUACAAUACUAAUUCCCUAAGAGUACCAGGUUGAUAAAAUUGUGCUGCCACUUUUGGGAUGACAGCAAUAUUUUUCACUAAAAAUGUAAUGUGGGAGUACGCUCAAUAACUAACUUGAUAAAAUAGACAGCAUGCGACUGAGCAGCCAUGGCCAGAAAGUCCUAGAUAUGAUUUUGAAUUACUGCUGAUCCAGCUGAUUUUGGUUGACAAUAGAUUACACUAGGGCUCCUAAAGUGAGCAAGGUAAAAUCGCAGGAUAUUAACUGUUUGAUAUUUAUCAAUGGUCUCAGCUGGAGAGUGUAAAUCUAAAUAUUCUAGGUUAACUUCCUUACUCCAUUUUAUUUUCUGAUUCCUGUACCCUGAAACUGCAUAGCAUUGCUUUUCUUGCAGUACCACUGGUCUACCACUUGAGGUAGUACCUGUGUUGGUCUCAGCGUUUGUCUGUAUAUUUUGAAUUUGCCUUUCAAAAUUCAUGUAAACUUGCUGCAAAAGUAAGCAAUAUCAGACAGUCUCCAUAUACAACUAACAAAAGCAGAAACUGCUGGAGUAAUUCAACAUGUCUAACAGCAUCUGUGGAGAAAAAACAAAAUUAACAUUUCAAGUCAAUCUGAGGAGUCAGUGGAUUCGAAACAUUAACUCUCCUUUCUCUCCACAGGUUGCCAGACUUGUGUUUUUUUUUUCUCUAGCACUUUCCAUUUCUUCUUUCUUUCAGAUCUCCAGUACUUACAGUUCUUUGUUUAAUUGUAAUCAUUAUAUGUAAAGCGGUAACUUUUUCAUCAUAUUUGCAAUAGUAUCACAUGCAUCACAACUGGAAACACAAUUAAGUCAUUCAGUCUUUUGAACUUGCUAUUCAUCAAUGUCAUGGUCAAUCUUUGCAGUCUCGACCUUACUUUGCUGUCUGCCCUCCUUGUCAUUCAAAAAUCAGUAUCAUGUUGUCGUUGUUCUAGUGACCAUUGGAGGGCACCACAGUUCUAUGCAGUUGACCAUUUAUUGGAUUAAGUUUCUUUAGUUGAUAAUUUUCGUGAAAAUGAGAUCUCUUGUUUUUGUGUUUGCAUUCACUUAUCAAAUGCCAUCCUGAAGUACACUACAAAAGAACAUUGAAACAGUGAUAUUAAAGAAGGUACUUCCUGCUCCUAAAAAAAUUAAGUUUUGGAAAUUGAAGGAAAAGAAAUGAAAUUUGAAAACUUCAAAUCAUACAGAGAUUCAAUUUUUGUUUCAAUUUGUUUAAACAUUGUUGUCACCUUUUAGGUGUAUAAUGGAAUGCUUUGGGUGAUGAACAUUGACAAAGAAUCAGCUUUAAAAGCCAAGAUAAUGCAAUUUGUUUUAAAAAGUGUCUUCCAAACCAAAAGACCACUCUACCACUUGUAUGUGUUGUAAAGUGAAAUGCACAGCUUCCUGGAACUGAUUAAACCAAUUAUGAGUUCUUGCUGAGCUAACACUGUGGAGCUGGAGGAACACAGCAGGAAUGCUGAUGUUUCAGGUUGGGAGCCUUCUUCAGAUAUCUGAAGAAGGGUCCUGACCCGAAACGUCAACAUUCCUACUUCUCUGAUGCUGCCUGUCUGCUGUGUUCCUCCAGCUCCACACUGUGUUACCUCUGACUCCAGUUUCUGCAGUUCUGAACAAGUUCUUGCUGGGUUGCUCCAAUGAUUUAUAGUUUUACUUCAGAUUUUCAGAAUCCACAGUUCUGUUUUAUUACCCCACAAGUUGGUGUUUCUUGUAUUUGAAGAAUAUUUCUGCAAACAAUAAAUAAUUAUUUAUAAUCAGAUUGAUUAAAUCCAAAUUCUGUCUUUGCAUUUUAUGCAUUAAGUGGAAGUUGCUAACGUUGAUAUAUUGAGUAAUAUUGAUUCUCCUUUUUCCUUUCUUUUCCUGAAGGCAUCAACUUGUACUUACAGACCAGGAUGUGACAGAAAGCAGCUUGGAUCUCACCUACUUGUAGGAGCUUAGACAGCAGGAGUUGCUGCCUGACCUGAUGUGUAUUUCCUGGAUUUUAUCUUACCAUUUCCAUUGGAGAAGCUGCUUUUGUAUUAAGUACAUCAGACCGAAAACGGCAGGAUUUGACAUUUAAGCCGUCAAGCUCAUAAUGAGUGCAAUUGAUGUUGAUCAUGGAUGCUGUCCAGUCCACACGCUGAGGACAGUAUGAUGGAAACACAUUAAAUAUUUUAUGUGGACUUGUGUUUGAAAGAUUAUGGAUCCUGGAUUUUUAAAGGGAUUAAUAAAGGACUGUGGAACAUCUUUUUAAUGAGGUUUCUAACUUGACAAGCACAUGGUUCCAAGUACACGUUGGGCUUGAUUUCUUGGUCUCACUUCAGAGAAAACACCUGACAACAUCUGCUUUCAGUAUUUCCUGACCAGGCUGUGUCUACCAAGACAGCAGAGAUAUUUACUUAUGUUGGUGAUACCUGUCUACCAUAAUGCCAGGCUUUUGCCGUCUAAGAAUUUCAUACCCCUAUUCUUUUUGCCUUCAUGAACUGAAACUGAUUGACUAAAAAUGUUUUUUUUCUCAAAAUAAAUCUUUGUUGAGAGAAAUCUUUGUUUUUCCCUCUUUUCCUAGUGCAAAUGGUUCUACGUUUGUGUGUGUGUUUGGUAUUACUGAGAGGGUAAAUAUUUAUUUUUCAUACUCCGACCUUGUGUUAACUAAUUUUCACCUUUUGUGCAUAUGUGCACAUGUACUUGGGGAGUUGAAUAUGAGAUCAAUUUUGGACUCACAGCUUGUUGGACCAGAUUUUAAAUAAUCUAACAUUUCCACGGUAGCUACCAGGGUGAGUUGUGUAUCUGUCCCAGGUAUCUGAUACUAAUUCAGAGUCAAGUUAAAUUUGGGUAGGAGAGAAUCAGCAUUUGGUUACUUAAUUCUCACGUAUGCCUCACAUCACGAAUUCCAAAGAACAUAAGAUCUGGAUGCUAAAUCAAAACUAAUGGGAAAAAUGUAAAUGGCUGUUUAACACAUUAAUUUGUUUUAAGUUUUGUUUUACUUCUACCUAUUGUGUAUCAUGUGCUUUAAAAUAUGACUUACAUGUGAGGUUAUGUGCAUUUAAAAUAAAAUUGAAGAAUGCAUUGUAGAUCUGAAACAUCAUAAGAUAACAAAUAUAAAUGUUAUAUUCUGCGGCGUUGAAAUAUGUUUGCAGAGUAGUUGAAUUGCUGAUAAUGUGUUUUCACCAACCUUUUGUGAAUUAAUUGAUGUUGUAUUUUUCGGCAAUCUUUUGGCAGCGCUUAGGAAUAUUUUUUGAUUGGACAUCUUUCCUUUGGGAAUAGCAUAAAGCUGUCAGUGGCUCAUUUUAUUUAUGUCCAUCAAAAAUCAUGAGUAAUGCAUCAACUGCGCUCCUUAUCUGUUGGCUGCCUUUGAACCUGAUUCCCUAAGGACUAAAACCAAUAUCUGUUUUAAACCUGCAUAUUAUUGUUGGCACCGAACAGUUCUUUCUUUAUGUUAAUUGACAGAUUACAUGUAACGAAACAAUAUCCUCUUGAACUACGUGAAAAAAUUGUAAUAUACAUUUUGACAGAGUUAAUGCAUUUUAAAUCACAAUGGAAGCAGAAGAACUGAUGUUUGAUUUAUUUUUAAUCUGUGUUCCUAUGCUCUGAACUAUUUUCCAUAUAU